ensembl:lncRNA
GCCGGAGGCGCUGAGUCAGGGGUUAGCAUCUAAAGGCCACACAAGCAUAGUAAGGAGGAAAGGGCAGUGCCUAGAGAUGAGAGAAAGAUGCCCCAGAAGACCAAGGCCAACUGCCCAGACAGCACUGCCUUCCCACCUUAACCGAGCUGGCCCUGGAAUGAGGGAGCAUUUUUUUUUCCUUUAUGUGAGGAGGUGCCAUUUGAGUCUGUCUCUAUUGGUAGCUAUAUGAUGGCAGACAACUGGGUGAAAAGUGGAAACGCAGAGUAAUCAAAUGUCUUCUCUGUAACCUAGAUGUCAGCUAGGGUCACGUGGUCUCUUAGGGUUGAGAGAAGAUGAGCUUGGGCCUUCAUUCCUCCUUGUGGGAAAUCCAAUAUCCUCCCCCCUCACCUCGGGAAUGAAGAUUCUUAUGUUUUCAUGUUCAUAUUUUUCUCUGUGCUAGUCAACUACCAGAUUAGUUUGAUUUAUGGGUCAAUUAAAAAUGUAUCCAACAAAACUCUGUUGUAUUGGAAUAGAGUCAGAGAUCUCAGUAUGAACUCAUGUUUAACCCAAUAUAUAUGCUGAUGUAUAGAUACAGAAACAGUUAUAGAUAUGUAUAUACACCAGUUAAUAUACACACGAUUAUUUCCUAGCUCUGCUGCAAGGAGCCGAGAAGCAACAACACCCCGGUAGCAAAGAGCACACCCAGUGUCUAGAUCUUGGUUUCUAAAUAUCAUUCUCUGAUAAAAGGGACCAGGGCUCCUUGGAGAAAUGGUUGACUCUAGAGCAGGGAAAAUACAACACCAGCCUGGAGCAUACACACAACAAAGAAGGAAGUGCUUGAUAAACGAAAGUAUUAGGGCAUGUCAAAGGAACACAGGAACCAACCUGCUCAGGAAAAACUCAGUUCUGCCUACCUCCUGUGUUGGGAAAAACCCAAUUCUUCCCUACCAUGUUUCUCUCCUGUACUAUUCACACAGAACACUUCUCUUCUGACAUUUCUGGUCACCAAAGGUGUGGAGGUGUUUCCCCACAACAAGCAAUUCUCUGUGACACCAGCAGGGUGUCCUACAUUUAACUCAAUUUGAACACUAUCUACCUGGAGAUAGCAUCAGGUUCCACAGAUUCAGGACUCAGUCCCACAAGACUGCUCCCCGGGGGCCAGCCAUACGGCUGAGUGGUUAAGUUCACGCGCUCUGCUGCGGCGGCCCAGGGUUUCGCCGAUUCAGAUCCUAGGCGCGGAUAUGGCAUCACUCAUCAGGACAUGGUGAGGCGGUGUCCCACAUGCCACAACUAGAAGGACCCACAACUAAAAUAUACAACUAUAUACUGGGGGGAUUUGGGGAGAAAAAAAAAGACUGCUCCCCACACGAUCCCCCCAACUUCAGAUGCCAAUCACAAGCCCAGGGUAUCACCUGCGCUUCUGACCGACCAGCUAUAGAUGGAAGGAUCCAAAUACCCUCUCCUCGGGUUCAAGUAAUUUGCUAGAGCAGCUCACAGAACUCAGAGUAACACUUAUAUUUACCGGUUUAUUAAAGGAUAUGAUAAAGGCUACAGAUGAACAGCCAGAUAAAGAGAUAUACAGGGGGAGGUCUGGGAGGGUACUGAGCACAGGAGCUUCUGUCCCCACGGAGUUGGGGGUGUGUCAUCCUCUCAGUAUAUGAAUGUAUUCGCCAAUCUGGAAGCUCUCUGAACUCCAUACUUUUGGGAUUUUUAUGGAGGUUUCAUCAUAUAGACAUGACUGAUCAUUAACUCCAUUUUCAGCCUUUCUCCCUUCUCAGGAGAAUAGGGUGCGGGGCAGAAAAUUCUAAGCCUGGUCUUUCCGGUGACCAGCUGUCAUCCAGGAGCGCCCCCCAGAGCCACCUCAUUAGAACAAAAGAGGUCUUCUCCUGUCGCCCAGGAAAUUAGAAGGGUUUCAGGAGCUCUGCAUCAAGAACAGAGGUCAAAGAACAGUAUUAGAACAAGAGAUGCUCCUAGUGCACUUAUCAGACAGCAAAUGACCAGGGUUUUAGGAGCCUUGUGCCAGGAACUGGAGGCAGACACCAAUAUAUAUAUUUUCUAUUAUCUCACACAACCCAAAAGAGCUUCUAAUGGCUAAAGCCAGAACGAUUCAAGCAACAAAAUAAAAAACAUAGCAUUGGGGCAGGCCCGGUGGUGCAGCGGUUAAGUGUGCACAUUCCGCUUCUCGGUGGCCCGGGGUUCACCGGUUCGGAUCCUGGGUGCGGACAUGGCACUGCUUGGCAAGCCAUGCUGUGGUAGGCAUCCCACGUAUAAAGUAGAGGAAGAUGGGCACGAUGUUAGCUCAGGGCCAGUCUUCCUCAGCAAAAAGAGGAGGACUGGCAGUAGUUAGCUCAGGGCUAAUCUUCCUCAAAAAACAAUAAUAAAUAAAUAAAUAAAUGCAGCAUUGGAUUAUAACCCAAAGUAUAAAAUACAUGUCUAUAAAUCCACACUGAAGCGAAUUACGAUUGAAUAAGUAAAUAAAUGAGUGAGAAGGGGCAGUUCAUCCUUGCAAGAGAUUCCAAGCGGCACAUGGAGACACGCCCCGCGCCAGGGCCUGGAGCCCAAUCCCCGCUCCUCCAAGCUCCAAACCUGGGCUCCAAAGAACAUUGUAGGCAGAGCGGAAAAUAGUGACUUAGAGUGGAGAAAUCUGGCAGACAUCCCCUUAGCCACAUGAUGACGGUUAAUGUCACCAGGAGUGUCAUGCAGAUCUCCUGUGUCCCCCCGUAUGAUGUGAUGGGAAGAGCUUCUUUAGUAUUCUUUCCAAAACCCAAUCACCCCAGUGUAAUCAGGAGAAAAACAUCAGAAAAAUCCCAAUUGAAGGAACUGCUACAAAAUACCUGACCAGUACUCCUCAAAACUGCGAAGGUUGUGAAAAACAACAAAAGACUGAGAAACUGUCACAGACCAGAGGAGACUAAGAAAACACGACAACUGAAAGCAGUGUGAUACCUGAGUGGAGCCAGGAACAGAAGGAGGGCAUUAGUGGGAAAAUGACUGAAACCCAAAUAGAGCCUGGGGCUUUGUUAAUAGUAAUGCACCAGGGCUGGUUCCUCAGCGUGACAACUGUACCAGGGUAGCGUCAGAUGUUAACAACAGGGGCUCUGGGGGUGGGGUACAGGUAAACUCUGUGUUCCCAUUGCAACUUUCCUAUAAAUCUAAAAUUUUUUCAAAAUAAUGCUUAUUUUUUAAAAAACUCUAAUUGAGUUUUUAAACAAUACACCCUAAUGCAUUCAACAAACACACACAUCACACUCACCCCACUCGGCACUAUUCCAAGCGAAGCGCAAAUACAAACUCCUCCUCCUGAUGUGAUCAUUAUUAUCACGUCUAAUCUGCGUGGCUGUCCGGCUCCAGCGCGCAUUCUCACCACUUUACAUCUCAGCUCGGCUUGCUGGCCCUGGCCUGCACCAUAUCAACCAAGGCUGGCCUCAGCCCUGCCUGGAUUCUCAGCAAAAAAACUCCCCAAAACAAAAGCAAACAAACCCAUUCACACAAGACGUUUUCUAAGCUGAGCAUCAGAGGUCUCAUCUUUUUUUUUUUUUUUUUUUUAAGGAAGAUUAGCCCAGAGCUAACUACUGCCAAUCCUCGUCUUUUUGCUGAGGAAGACUGGCCCUGAGCUAACAUCUGUGCCUGUCUUCCUCUACUUUAUAUGUGGGAUGCCUACCACAGCAUGGCUUGCCAAGCAGUGCCAGGUCCGCACCCAGGAUCCAAACCGGUGAACCCCAGCCCGCUGAGAAGCAGAACCUGCAAACUUAACCGCUGCACCACCGGGCCGGCCCCCAGAGGUCUCAUCUUUAAAAGCAGUGCCUGGGCCACUUCCACCAUGCAGAGCUUCUCCCUCUGCCCCCUCUCCUCCUCCCUCCUCCCCUCCCAGCCGGAUUCCUGGGUAGGGCUUAUGCUGAGGAAUUUAGCCACUCCUACUUACUGUCCCCUGCCCAAUCCAUGGGAAGAGGGAACAGAUUUUCACAACUGACUUUUUUUCACAGUACACAGACUGGCCUGAGACUGGAGUCCCUCAGCUGGACAGUACAGAGGAACGGCCCUGCAUGCGAGAAAGACCCUGAAUUAACUCGCUCUAGAGGCCGGGGCACUGCAAGGUGCAGAAGGUCUCAAGAGGGGAGCACCAGGUCACAGGAGGGACUCUCCCAGAGCAAGAUCAGCAGAUCCAGGAUGCCCCAGCCUGGAGGGGGCUGAAGGGGGCACCACUUGGGAGAAGACGUGGCUUCCCCUGCGGCCUCUCAGGCAUCGGCCUCCAGGUCAGCUCUUCAUAGUGUGUUCAGACUCAGUGAAGACGAUGCUGAUCAAUGCCAGGUCUUGAGAAUUUUGAUGAGGCUUCCAGGAAUAAGGGAAACUGAAUUGAGUCAACUUCUGAAGAAAGAUAAAACUUGAAGCUACUGGGAACAGCUAUUUUAUACCUUGACUGCUUUAUAAAAGUCUGUUUGGGCCGGCCUCGUGUCGCAAUGGUUACGUUCGCGCGUUCCGCUUUGGCGGCUCAGAAUUGGCUGGUUCAGAUCCCGGGUGUGGACAUGGCACCGCUCAUCAAGCCAUGCUGGGGCAGGCGUCCCACAUAUAAAGUAGAGGAAGGUGGGCACGAUGUUAGCUCAGGGCUAAUCUCCUCAGCGAAAACAGGAGGAUUGGCAGCAGAGGUUAGCUCAUGGCUGAUCUUCCUCAAAAAAGGAAUUCUGUUCACGGGUCUGGUAAAAUCUAGAUCUCUAAUAUUUUUAUGCCCAAGCCCCUUGGACACUGCAGCCCUUUUCAGUUUCUCCUUAGGCAAAAUUCAUUCUUGUCAGCUCAUUAAGCUGAAGAAGCCUGGGAAUAAAAUUUGAAACAAAGGUUAAUAAAGUUCUUUGCCAGUAAAAUGUAAUAAUAAUAAAAUAAUAAUAAUAAAAUCAAACCAGACCUGCUCACUAGGCCUGGCCUUGGCUCUGAGGCCCCAGAGGCAGAAGGCAGGCUUGCUGUCUCUGGCUGAACACAGCAAGUGAAGGGCCCACAUCCUCUUCUCCAAUUGCCUAAAGAUACCUGUCACUUCCCAUCACCUCUGUGGCAAAGCUGCACAGCCUCUCUCCUUCGCCAGUCUUUGUCAAAGAGCGUUGGGGCUGGGGCAGAAAGAGAAGGGGACGUGUACUCCCCUCCCCAGAGCUCAGUUGUACAGAGCCCUGCCCUGGGGGCCAGGCAGGGCUCUGUGCCCUGAAUGGGACCUCCACCCAUGCCUCCAGAGCAGUGUGGUCCCAACUUCCAAAAUUAACUCUCCUUGCAGAGUUGGGGCAUUAAUCACCCUAGUAAACAUACCCAUAUGUUACCACUGAGAGAAAGCAAUUAAGCCCCUCAGCCAUGAACUCGGUUAAUUUAUAGAACAUAAAUGAGCCACUGGGUCGGGGGAGAGGGGUGUAGGAAGGGGGAGCUGAGCAAGGCCGGCCCACUUGUGGGCUCAGGGGCAGUUGGGGGGACUGCAAGAAAAAGGCACUAAAAGUACCUGAGGUACCUUCUUCGUUUUGCCUGGAGCAGGCAGUGGUCUGCUCUCAGCCAGUCUGGAGGACCCCCAACAAAGUUCAGGCUCAGGGAUAAAUUCCCACCACAGACAGGAUUGGGCCCCACCCUCUGAGGCUCCCCCACGGCUUCAGGAGUCCCAGGGACCUAAUAAUACGCACAAAUCAGAACGCAGGCUGCAGGCCCUGGCCAUGCAAGGAGAGGAAGAAAGCCGACACCUGCCCUGGCCUGGCCCCUCUGGCCUGGCCCUAAAGCAGCCAGGCAGCCGCCCUGGAGCCAGAGGCCCCUGCCUGGGUACACCAGCAGCACCCUAUAUUGAGAGGAUGAGCGUGCAGGGGGGAAUGGCAGGCAUGUGGCCCAGCUGUCACAGUGAGCCCAGCCCAGGCAGGCUGCUCUCUGCCAGCACCCUCCUUCCUGCCUUCAGGCUCCAGGGCCAGCAAUGGACACUCCGGGCGCUUUCAGUUCACGCAAUAAUGAAACCCGUGAAGCAGAAAACCAGGUACACAGAACGAGUGGAGGCCACUUUGAAAAGAGAAAAUUUAAAAACCUGCUUAAGGAAGGUAGCAGACUUUGUCCUCAAUGCUGACUCUGACUGACGGGAUCUAAGAGGGCAAUGCCCUCUUUUACAUUUCACCCAGGAAGAAGCCUGAUAGCUCCGUAUUUCCAGGGCUGCCCAGACUUACCCACCCCCUCACUACGUCCCCCAGCCAUUCCACGACUCAGGAGAAAGUAACAGUCUAGAGACACAGGCUUCUUGAUGCAACAGCAGCCUGGGACUUUAUGAUCAACUCUCUGCCUGGUUUUUCAAAUCUGCAAAAUGGGUCUACUUCUAGCUUUCCUCUUGAGCCAGCUGCUCCUUCGUUGUGGAGGGAAGAUCCUCUCAUUCCAGUUCAUGAUGGGCAGAGAUGCUGUGAGACUCACUCAACCAGCCCCAGUGGAAGGAACUAUGGCUCUGGGAGCCCCAUUCUCAGAGAGGCUUAGUCACCGCUCUUAAGGAGCACCCAAGAUUAAGAAGACCCAAGUCAGGCUUGGGUGGUGGAGAGUGUCUCAGCAGUUCAAGGCCAAGCUGCCUUUUCCCCUAGGACGGGCACACUGCCAUCUGCCCAGGGCCAUGGACAGGCACACAUGAGCUCCCCACGUGCUCAGGAAAGGAGAAACAGUCUGGACACCUGACUGGAAAUGUGGAGGCGCAUGGUGGGGGAUGAGCUCCCUGGCAUGUGGGAGACGGGCACCUGAGGCACUGAGAGGCGGUGUCCAGGAGAAUGAGCCUCAGCGCUCAAUUGAGGGAGGAGGUGAGGCAGGAGAUCGGAGGAGAUGGGGCAGGAGAGCGCAGCAUGUGCAGGGAGCCUGGCUGGCCCCAUGUGCUUCCCUGGUGGGGUCUAGAUGCUCUUGUCUCUCACCCAGGGCCCACCAAAGCCACUCUUGGCUUUAAGGUUUGAGUUUAAAGCCAUGCUUACUUGCCCAAGGAGAAAGAAAAAAAAACAGGCCACUUGUCAGUGUCUCCCUGCUUCCUUCUAGGGUCGAGCAGUGUGUGAAGGAGAGGACAGCUGCCUGCCUGAGAGUCCCCAGGAAGGAGAAGCCUGUGCCAGUGGCCAGGUGCCUGUUGCUAUAAGUGUGACCCUCAGGGCAGGGGGAGCUGUGCCGGGGUCAGGGGCUCAGCCUGUCCAGCCCCCAGCCUCAAUGCAUAGGCAGGCCCUGGGCCCUGGGUCACCAGAAUGUUGCUCUGAACAUGGGGAUUCUUCUAGAGGACAGAUCAGAGAUGCUCAUGCUUCUUCUCCACCAGGCUGAAGAGCUGGGGAGAGAAUGGCAGGGCUGGCAUCCAUCCUGGGGACAAGGGCACACAUCAGCUCUAGCUGUCCACCCCCCCACAAAGCAUGGAGAAAAGGG